GUUGUAUGGUUAAGCGACCAAGCGUAUACGGUGGAUGCCUUGGCAGUCAGAGGCGAUGAAGGACGUAGUAACUUGCGAAAAGCGUUGGUGAGCUAGUAACAAGCAUUUGAGCCAGCGAUGUCCGAAUGGGGAAACCCGGCAGCAUAAGCUGUCAUCAAUACGUGAAUACAUAGCGUAUUGAGGCGAACGAGGGGAACUGAAACAUCUAAGUACCCUUAGGAAAAGAAAUCAACCGAGAUUCCCCAAGUAGCGGCGAGCGAACGGGGAUUAGCCCUUAAGUCUUUGGGGUGUUAGUGGAAUGUGUUGGAAAGCACAGCGGCACAGGGUGAUAGCCCCGUACAUGUAAACUAACCAGAGAUGAAAUCGAGUAAGGCGGCACACGUGAUAUGUUGUCUGAAUAUGGGGGGACCAUCCUCCAAGGCUAAAUACUCCUGACUGACCGAUAGUGAACCAGUACCGUGAGGGAAAGGCGAAAAGAACCCCUGUGAGGGGAGUGAAAUAGAACCUGAAACCGUAUACGUACAAGCAGUGGAAGCGGUUCUUGAGACCGUGACUGCGUACCUUUUGUAUAAUGGGUCAGCGACUUACAUUUAGUAGCGAGGUUAAGCGAAUAGCGGAGCCGUAGGGAAACCGAGUGUUAACUGCGCGUAUAGUUGCUAGGUGUAGACCCGAAACCCGGUGAUCUAGCCAUGGGCAGGUUGAAGGUUGAGUAACAUCAACUGGAGGACCGAACCGACUAAUGUUGAAAAAUUAGCGGAUGACUUGUGGCUGGGGGUGAAAGGCCAAUCAAACCGGGAGAUAUCUGGUUCUCCUCGAAAGCUAUUUAGGUAGCGCCUCGGACGAACACCUUUGGGGGUAGAGCACUGUUAAGGCUAGGGGGUCAUCCCGACUUACCAACCCUUUGCAAACUCCGAAUACCAAAGAGUGCUAUCCGGGAGACAGACGGCGGGUGCUAACGUCCGUCGUCAAAAGGGAAACAACCCAGACCGUCAGCUAAGGUCCCAAAGUAAUUGCUAAGUGGGAAACGAUGUGGGAAGGCUUAGACAGCUAGGAUGUUGGCUUAGAAGCAGCCAUCAUUUAAAGAAAGCGUAAUAGCUCACUAGUCGAGUCGGCCUGCGCGGAAGAUGUAACGGGGCUAAGCAAUUCACCGAAGCUACGGGUACUGAUGCUUGCAUCAGUGCGGUAGAGGAGCGUUCUGUAAGCCGUUGAAGGCGAAGGGGUAACCCACGCUGGAGGUAUCAGAAGUGCGAAUGCUGACAUGAGUAACGAUAAAGGGGGUGAAAAACCCCCUCGCCGAAAGACCAAGGGUUCCUGUCCAACGUUAAUCGGGGCAGGGUGAGUCGACCCCUAAGGCGAGGCUGAAAGGCGUAGUCGAUGGGAAACGGGUUAAUAUUCCCGUACUUCUGCUAACUGCGAUGGAGAGACGGAGAAGGCUAGGCCGGCGCGGCGUUGGU
rnacentral:rRNA from 1 species